ACCUUGAACCUAAAUUCCUUGUUUCCGGUUGACCAUUGCUAAUUAAGGCCGUGUCGCUUAAGGCUCUACCACAGCACACCUGAUCUACGCAUGUCGCCGUGCGCAUCUGUGUUUUAACCUCAAGAGGAUUUAGAUUCCAAGCCUAUUUUAAUUUUUGGAUCUCGUUUAUUAUCUUACAGAGGAGCAAUGUGCUGAAAUAUAAGACUUGUGUGCCUACAACUUGGUGUAAAGGGGAUCGCUAAUGCAAUCAUAAACUUGGUGGCUGAGAUAAAGCGGCUGAGGAGAACAGAGGCUUGUGAGUGGAAUAGGUUGGUGGAACUUGUGUACAGCCCUUUCUAUGUUCAACAAAUGUCUCAGGUGGAAGUACAUUUAGUACAGUUUCCAUAGAGAUCCAGCUUUAUUCAAGGCUCAUCUUAAAGAGAAUGAUGUGGCUGCUGGGACAUAACUUAAGUCUACAUUCAACUGCUUGCAGAUCUCAAGAAGCCUGGGGUUCUCGUGCAGCACCGCAAGCACUCAGGCUGAUUGGGAAGUUAAUUUCUGGUCCUUUGAUAAAGAUCAUUUACAAGAAUGCAAUGUGGCAAUCAAAUGUAGAUCUACUCUGUUUCUUAAAGUCAUGGAAGCGUUGACAGUUGACUUCUACUGAGCCUUUCUUGGUGCGACAGCUGGAGAGGUAUCUGACGGGAAAUCUGAUUGGUGUCCAGCUGACUCAUAAGUGGAAGCUAGGUGAUCAGGGUGUGUCGCAAUACAGUGGAAGGACUAUCAAAAGGGUGCCAGAAACAAAACAAAAGUCAGCUCUUUACACCAUAAGCUACUGGGCAGAGGAUGAGGAUAAUUCUGAGGAUUUCAGUUAUCUGGCAGAAUCACUGGUUGUUGACUUUGUAGGAAUCUUGUUUUUCUUUCUGAAUAAUAGCUUAUCAGAAUUUCAGAGUACUUCUUUCAUUUUUAGUAUACAAAUGAACUUUAUUUUUUAAACAUUAGUGUUUUAGUAAAUUGUUACUGAAAAAAUGAUUGCUCUGAAUUGUAAAUUUAUUUUGAAAACUAAUACUAACGUUUAUAA